rnacentral:rRNA from 1 species
ACGGAGGGUGCAAGCGUUAUCCGGAUUCACUGGGUUUAAAGGGUGCGUAGGCGGGUAGGUAAGUCAGUGGUGAAAUCCUGGAGCUCAACUCCAGAACUGCCAUUGAUACUAUCUAUCUUGAAUAUUGUGGAGGUAAGCGGAAUAUGUCAUGUAGCGGUGAAAUGCUUAGAUAUGACAUAGAACACCCAUUGCGAAGGCAGCUUACUACGCAUAUAUUGACGCUGAGGCACGAAAGCGUGGGGAUCAAACAGGAUUAGAUACCCUGGUAGUCCACGCCCUAAACUAUGGAUACUCGACAUAUGCGAUACACUGUAUGUGUCUGAGCGAAAGCAUUAAGUAUCCCACCUGGGAAGUACGUUCGCAAGAAU